rnacentral:rRNA from 1 species
UCUGGUACCUUUGGUGCCCGAGUUGUAAUUUGGAGAGUACCACUUUGGGACUGUACUUUGCCUAUGUUCCUUGGAACAGGACGUCAUGGAGGGUGAGAAUCCCGUGUGGCGAGGGUGUCAGUUCUUUGUAAAGGGUGCUCGAAGAGUCGAGUUGUUUGGGAAUGCAGCUCUGAGUGGGUGGUAAAUUCCAUCUAAAGCUAAAUACAGGCGAGAGACCGAUCGCGAACAAGUACAGUGAUGGAAAGAUGAAAAGAACUUUGAAAAGAGAGUGAAAAAGUACGUGAAAUUGUUGAAAGGGAAGGGCAUUUGAUCAGACAUGGUGUUUUGCGCCCCUUGCCUCUCGUGGGCUUGGGACUCUCGCAGCUCACUGGGCCAGCAUCGGUUUUGGCGGCCGGAAAAAACCUAGGGAAUGUGGCUCUGCGCCUCGGUGUAGAGUGUUAUAGCCCUGGGGAAUACGGCCAGCCGGGACCGAGGACUGCGAUACUUGUUAUCUAGGAUGCUGGCAUAAUGGUUAUAUGCCGCCCGUCUUGAA